AGGGCAUCUAGCUGCUGCUGGAUCUCAACGCGUAACUCAGUAAGUAACUGGAGGUUUGAUUCCCUCGUGGAUUUGGGAACAAGAUCAGACACGAGAGAACCAAAUAAAUCACCUGAUAUUGCCAUCGUUCCUUUCUUAAGAGUUCCUCAGAACUGCCCGAGAACAUACAGACUGGCUGCUUUUGAUCCUGAUGGUGACAAGGUGCGCUGCAGGUAUGGAAAUUUACACAAUUACGAGUGCGACAACUGCCACCUCCCUCCAGGCUUCCAGCUUGAUCAGGAUUCUUGCACAUUGCACUACCAGCAAACCUAUCAGAACCUCCGAACCUUUGGUUUUGAGAUGGUGGUAGAAGACUAUGCACGUAGCACUAUUGAUCUGUCCUAUUCUGAUGGAUCAAGAGUUCGCAAGCAUCCACUUCCUUCAAGGAGGAAGAGAGCAUACUACGCAACUACUCCAUCAUGGGGGUGGUGGACAACAACUCCAACUACCACAACUACUGCUGUGACAACCACCCCGUGGUGGUGGUGGACAACAACAACUGCA